rnacentral:rRNA from 1 species
GUCCAGACUCCUACGGGAGGCAGCAGUGAGGAAUAUUGGUCAAUGGGCGGGAGCCUGAACCAGCCAAGCCGCGUGAAGGAAGAAGGCGCCAAGCGUCGUAAACUUCUUUUGUCGGGGAACAAAGGGCGCCACGUGUGGCGUUGUGAGUGUACCCGAAGAAAAAGCAUCGGCUAACUCCGUGCCAGCAGCCGCGGUAAUACGGAGGAUGCGAGCGUUAUCCGGAUUUAUUGGGUUUAAAGGGCGCGUAGGCGGGAUGCCAAGUCAGCGGUAAAAAUGCGGUGCUCAACGCCGUCGAGCCGUUGAAACUGGCGUUCUUGAGUGGGCGAGAAGUACGCGGAAUGCGCGGUGUAGCGGUGAAAUGCAUAGAUAUCGCGCAGAACUCCGAUUGCGAAGGCAGCGUACCGGCGCCAGACUGACGCUGAGGCACGAAAGCGUGGGGAUCGAACAGGAUUAGAUACCCGAGUACCA